CAUUAGCCUGAAUAGUGAAGGAAUGCGGGUCAUUAAACCCCAAUUUCAUUUCAUAAAUCUCUCGGCUCAAUAAUGAGCUACUCGGGUUGGUUAGAUCCACGCCUUAAUGCAUAUACAACCAAUAGAGAAAUAGGUCAAAUAUGGCGACAAUGAUCAACUUGCUCUUCUUCUACUAAAUUAAAGAUUCGUGUGGAGAUUCUGUCGAUAUUAUCAUAUAUUUAUAUCUGCUCUUUCUUAAAAUGGAGACGCUUGGUGGUCGAGAACGGAAGAACAAAAGAAUGAGGAGAAAGAACGCACUCGAUCCAUCAGAAGAUCCAAGAGUAAGAGUCCUGUUAUAGAUUCUCAGCCAUAAAGCUAUAUCAGUUGUAAAAAUUCUUCGUGUGUUGAGAGUUCUACGUCCUUUACGUGCCGUAAACAGAGCUAAAGGAUGAAGAACAUCUUUUAACAGAAGAAAAUCCUUUAAUUCACGAGUUAAUAGCUAAUAUAUAGUUUCCUGUCGACUAUACUUGUAGAACAGAAAUUUACUGAGUGAUAAACUGGAGAAGAUCUGUGAAGAUUGAAGGCCGUCAGAGCUGCUGUAUUCGAACAUAAACCGUCAUUAAAAGUUGGUUGUGAUUAUUUGAUACGUGAUUGUGUCAAGAGAUAUCCACUAGAAAACUGUCCACUGUGUAGCUGAAGAUCCUGAGAAUCAACUGAAAGGUUGUAAAAAUCAAAUAGACAAAGAGUUUAUUGUGGUCAUCUGUUUCAUAAUGGUUGUUUAGAUACGUUCAUGAAAACACCUCCAUUUAUAGGUUGCGGUUUAAACUACGUCAAGCUGAAAAGGAUGGAAAGAUACAGGAAGUCGUAGAAAUAUUAUCAUUACAAGAUAAGAUGCAAGCUUUACCUAUAGCUGCUGAAUACGGGUUUUAUAAAGUUAUGGUUUGUCUGUUAGAAGACGGAGUUGUUGAUAUACAUUAUGUUGGGUGACCUAUUUACGGCAAAUAUAAAAAUUUAAAAGACCGUAGAAUUGUGAAAUGAAUAGAACUACACAACUUCUAAAUAUAAAUAAACAAAAUACCAAUACUUCUUUCUUUAAACUAAUUUGGGAUGAACGGGUCUACUAUGGCACACAAAAAUAAAUUAUGCCGUGACAGACAUGGUUUGCGUACGUCGGCUUUUACCAUGGCUUUGCCGUUUAAUUGCCGUGGUAAAUUUAGAGCGCAAGUUUGUGUACAGAGAAGGGCGAAGGGGUUUAAAUACGACUGGGCGGCUUUCUUCGAUUUUUUCUUUGUGCUGGGCGACAAAAAAUACUGACGGACGCAAGCGCCAGGCGCCACCCAGCGUGGCUACACCCCUGGAUGCUGGUGUAGAUGUCAACCAGGUGAAUGAUGAUAAAGAUACACCUAUAUUGAUAGCUGCUGAACGAGGGUUGUAUGAAGUUGUGAUAUAUCUGUUAAAACAUGGAGUAGAUGUACAUGGUGUUGAUAGCUAUAAGGACAACCUGAUAUAUAAACUUUUAGAUUACUAUGAUAAUGAUGACAAACCAGGUAGACGUGAUUUGUUAUUACAAUGUGUAGUUACAUUAGUUGAUGCUGGUGUAGAUGUCAACAAGGUGAAUGAUGAUCAACAGACACCUAUAUUUAUAGCUGCUAUUAUUAGUAUUAAAGGGUUGUAUGAAGUUGUAA